rnacentral:miRNA from 1 species
CAGCCCUGGGCAUUUGCAUUCU